CCCAAGGCUAUAGCCCACCCGUUUUUGUGGCCUUUUUCCGCUGGACGAACUUGGCGACCCGGCCUUCGGGCGGUUCUUUUUGGGCGCGGCUGUGCCCGUGGACUAUUUUUGGCACACGCAGGUGCCUCGCAAAGUCUCGCGUCAUUCCGAGUCCGGCGGACAAAGUUGGCGAGCCCCACCCCCCAAGGCGACAGCCCACCCGUUUUUGUGGUCUUUUUCCGCUGGACGAACUUGGCUCCCCGGCCUUCGGGCGGUUAUUUUUGGGCGUAGCUGUGCCCGUAACCUGUUUUUGGCACACGGAGGUGCCUCGUAAAGUCUCGUGCCAUUCCGAGUCCGGCGGACAAAGUUGGCCGGCCCCACCGCCCAAGGCUAUAGCCCACCCGUUUUUGUGGCCUUUUUCCGUUGGACGAACUUGGCGCCCCGGCCUUCGGACGGUUAGUUUUGGUCGUGGCUGUGCCCGCGGCCUAUUUUUAGCCCACGAAGGCGCCUCGCAAAGUCUCGCGCCAUUCCGAGUCCGGCGGACGAAGUUGGCCAGCCCCACCCCCGAAGGCUGUA
rnacentral:lncRNA from 1 species